rnacentral:rRNA from 1 species
UACAGAGGUCUCAAGCGUUUGUUCGGAUUCAUUGGGCGUAAAGGGUGUGUAGGUGGCGCGCUAAGUCGGGUGUGAAAUUUCGGGAGCUUAACUCCGAAACUGCAUUCGAUACUGGCGUGCUUGAGGACUGGAGAGGAGACUGGAAUUCAUGGUGUAGCAGUGAAAUGCGUAGAGAUCAUGAGGAAGACCAGUGGCGAAGGCGGGUCUCUGGACAGUUCCUGACACUGAGACACGAAGGCCAGGGGAGCAAACGGG